GACGAACGCUGGCGGCGUGCUUAACACAUGCCAGUCGAACGAAGUGGCGAACGGGUGAGUACUACGUGGGUAACCUGCCCUCCUUUUUGGGAUAAGCCUUGGAAACGGGGUCUAAUACCGAAUAAAGGGGGCUGGGCUCUCGGCCUAUCAGCUUGUUGGUGGGGUGAGGGCAUACCAAGGCGGUGACGGGUAGCCGGCCUGAGAGGGUGACCGGCAACAGUGGGACUGAGAUAAGGCCCAGACUCGUACGGGAGGCGGCAGUGUGGGAUAUUGCACAAUGGGCGACAGCAUGAUGCAGCGACUCUGCGUGGGGGAUGAAGGCUUUCGGGUUGUAAACCUCUUUCGCUUUCGAACGGGUAGGUGGGGAAGAAGCGCCGGCUGACUACGUGCCAGCAGCCGCGGUAAUAC
rnacentral:rRNA from 1 species